rnacentral:rRNA from 1 species
GAUCCGCCCAAGAACCGUGUGCGAAUCUAGAGGCCUAAAUCGUGCCAGUUCACUAGGGUGGUUCUCGCAUACACCCAAAGGCAAUUUAUUAGACUUAAACCCAUCUACAACGGUUCCGCCGUAGUUAAGGGGAAAUUCUGGAAUACUUUGCCUGGAUCGUAUUGCCUUAGUGCCGGCGAACGUUUCAAUUGAGUUUCUGGCCCUAUUCAACUGUUGGUAAAGGUAAUUGGCUUACCCAAGGUUGCAAACGGUUAACGGGGAAUCAAGGGUUCGAUUCCGGAGAGGGAGCCUGAGAAACGGCUACCACAUCCAAAGGAAGGCAACAGGCGCGCAAAUUACCCAAUCUAGACAGUAGGAGGUGGUGAAGAGAAUUACUAAUGGUGGUCUAACAGAUCACUCGCUUGGAAUGAACGUAACUUAAGAAAUUCGAUGAGAAACAACUGGAGGGCAAGUCCUGGUGCCAGCAGCCGCGGUAAUUCCAGCUCCAGUAGUUUGCUUUAAAGUUGUUGCGUUUAAAACGCUCGUAGUUGGAUCACGCAGCGGUGGUGAGUAAUCUUUUGCGACGGGAUGGUAAAUGAGCCCGUUUUGCGACGGCCAUGAAUCAAACUAAGCAAAAGGUAAAAAUGCUGAUCAUCGCUAGUUGCACGUGAGAUAGAUUGUUGGCCUUUGAUGUGCCGAUAUUCUGGUCUUGCGGAGUGUGCCUUGAAUAAAACAGAGUGCUUAAAGCAGGUCGUUGCCUGAAUGUUAUAGCAUGGAACGAACAAUCGUGUUUAUGUGUACGCCUACUGAUGGUAGCGAGCCUUUGGUUUGUUGUUAUUGGAGACGUGCACGGCACCCACCAAAAUAUGGCUGUUGGUUCCAUAUACGGUGAUGAUUAACAGGAGCGGUUGGGGGCAUCGGUAUUUGGCCGCGAGAGGUGAAAUUCUUAGACCGGCCAAGGACUAACAAAUGCAAAGGCACUUGUCUAGACCGUUUCCAUUAAUCAAGAACGAAAGUGGGAGGUUCGAAGACGAUCAGAUACCGUCCUAGUUCCCACCGUAAACUAUGCCGACCUGGGAUCAGUUCAGAGAUGUUACAAGCUCUGGAUUGGUCCCCCUGGGAAACCUGAAGUUUUUCGGUUACGGGGAAAGUAUGGUCGCAAGGCUGAAACUUAAAGGAAUUGACGGAAGGGCACCACCCCAGGGGUGAACUCCCAAA